rnacentral:rRNA from 1 species
GACGAACGCUGGCGGCGUGCCUAAUACAUGCAAGUAGAACGCUGAAGGAGGAGCUUGCUUCUCUGGAUGAGUUGCGAACGGGUGAGUAACGCGUAGGUAACCUGCCUGGUAGCGGGGGAUAACUAUUGGAAACGAUAGCUAAUACCGCAUAAGAGUAGAUGUUGCAUGACAUUUGCUUAAAAGGUGCAAUUGCAUCACUACCAGAUGAACCUGCGUUGUAUUAGCUAGUUGGUGGGGUAACGGCUCACCAAGGCGACGAUACAUAGCCGACCUGAGAGGGUGAUCGGCCACACUGGGACUGAGACACGGCCCAGACUCCUACGGGAGGCAGCAGUAGGGAAUCUUCGGCAAUGGACGGAAGUCUGACCGAGCAACGCCGCGUGAGUGAAGAAGGUUUUCGGAUCGUAAAGCUCUGUUGUAAGAGAAGAACGAGUGUGAGAGUGGAAAGUUCACACUGUGACGGUAUCUUACCAGAAAGGGACGGCUAACUACGUG